rnacentral:lncRNA from 1 species
UUGAGUAUGUAUGUAUGGUAAUGGAGAAUGGUUCAAGUUUGGGGUUGUUGGGAAAUUGUAAAAAGAAUGAAAAAAAGAAAAGAAAAAAAGCAUUGAGCAAAGCAAAAGAAAAGAAAAGAAAAAAGAAGAAGGAAAAGAUGAAUAAAUGAGCUCAAUGAAUGAAAAGUUGGGAUUAAGUUGGGAAUGGUUUCUCAAGUGAAGGAGAAAGAGAGAUUGAUGAUUAAAAUGAUGAAAUUAUGAAUUGUUUACUCUCAUAACUCAAGGAUUUUGUUGUCUAGAAAAACCAAUUUUCUUCUUACCCUAGCCACGUUACAAGCCUUGAAAAGUCCUUGUGAUGAUAACUUGCUUGUGAAUGUGUUUGAUGUUGUUUAAAUGAAAGGC